rnacentral:lncRNA from 1 species
CAGGGGAAAGUCCAGAGCGGCCGGGCUCCAGGAUGGGGCCUAAAAAUAAAACAGCCCGACAGCCGCACAAAGGGUCUCUUGAGGGGGGGGAAGCAGGUGCAGCCAGAGGGGCCUUCCCGGCUGCCGUGGGCCGGGGGAGGGGGAGCCCAGCCCAGGCUCUCCCGCCUGCCCCGGGUCGCCCCCCCCGCAGCCUUUGGAGCGCAGCGGCCUGGAUUCGCUGUGGGACCUCUCUGGGAACCAACACCUCCCGUCUGGUCUUCGGAGAAACUGGGAGCCACACAGGAUGCCACGAUGCCCUAGCUGGAAUACGGACAGCGCCUUCCACCCUGACAAGAUCAAGGGGCCUGCUUUUUUUGGUUUUGUUUUGUUCAGGAGAUCGGACUUAGGACCUUGUGCUUGCAAGGCAGGUUCUACCAAAUCAUUGGAGACUCUCCUCUUGGAUUUCCGCCAUGUGGCCUUCAGGAAGAGGCUUCUUACAGUGGGAAAAGCUUUAUCCAGAGCCUCAAUUAUCUAUUCAACCUUCUAAAAAAUGGGAUGGAGUGAUUUUCAACUUCAGAGAUUUUGCUGCUGCUCUUCUCAAACAUUUCCCUGGAAAUUGGAUUUGGGCAAAUAACUUUUGAAGGAGAAUGCAAUCAUUGACCCAGACUCCAUUUUUUUUCUUUUUUUCUCUUGCCUGUCUUUGGUGAGUUAUUCUUUCCCUCAGUUUAUCUUGAAUUCCAGAUCACAGGUCUGAUAGAUAAACAUCCUGUGACAAAUCAAAACUGCCUCCUAAGCAGCAGGGACUCUGUGUGACCAGUCCCAGGGUAACGAGCAGCCUGAGCAGGAUCACCAGCCAUGCCAGCCCUCCACUCUUGCUUUUAGUCCUCCCUGUAUAACCCUGGACUUGUUUUUAGUACUCUGAAGACAGCAUGGACAUCUGUCUUACCAUGCAAUGCUAGGGAGAAUAAACUCUUCCUGUGUUACCACCAAUUUUUAUAUUUGGUUCUUUGGGACGAGUGGCUGAUCAUGCUGUGUUAAGAUCCCCAAACCCACUAGUCCUCUGUCCUAGCACUUUGGUGACAUUAUCCUUGCUCCACUAGCAGAUAGGCCUCUACUCUGUUACCCUGAGCAAACAGACAGCAAUAGAAUCAGG